UUGUCGUCAUGCUCAGGGUGGGAAGUUCGAGUUCUGUACAGUUGUGUAUGGAUGUUGUGGAUUGUAUCAGUCACGAAUAUGUCUGCUGUGUGCCUGGGUGUAAUUCCUACUACAAAAGACGGGAAAAAGACAAAACACGUUCGUUCCACCGGUUCCUGACAGACACCAGAUUGAAGAGAGAGUGGAUUUCAAAAAUUAGAAGAGACAUCGGUACAUUUUUCCAGCAAUGAACCUGCUGGAGAGACAGAAGAUGCAAGUGUAGACCUGGCUGGAGUUGACACUGGUGCAGACCAAGUUGUUAAGCCAGCACCCCACUCUGACCAUGACUAUGCUGAACUCUCGGUCACUGGAAGAGCAGCUAGAAGCAGCACGAAG